GCACAACCCAUUUACAGAGCUCGAAGAUGAGGACGUAUUAGGAUAUGUCCGAGCUGGACAUGCAUCACCUCAAGCUUCUUGUUCAAGCUUAAAUACCUCACUGGAAACCAGUGCCAUCACCUAUGCUCCCUAUGCUGCUGCCACAUCUAGCAGAAGGAUUUCACUGGAUACUGCGAGCACCUCCACUCCUGUGACCCCUACCAGAGGGAUUAUAUUGGUAAGAACUAUCAGGAGGGCUACUGUUUCAUCUCAGACCACAGAGGGAAUGUGCGGCAUGCUUAUAUCAACAGUAACAUAGAAUCUCUCUGUGCCACUACAGUUGGGGAUACAUUCAAACCAUAUAGUUCUUCUUGUCAUUGGAGGAUAUACCAAUCUGUCUUGAGACAUGGC